ensembl:lncRNA
UUUUUUUUUUUUUUUUAAGGAAAGUUUGUAGCUACUCCUAUGCCCAGGAAAGCACAGAAUUCAAGUGUGGUGGCCGUCCGAGCUGUCCUUUCUCUGGCCCUGCUGUCUGCAGGGGCUUCCUACCUGUGUGAGAGGUCGUAGCGGGAGACAGCGACAGACAGAAGGCGGCUGGGCCACGUCCUUCACAGGGCGACAUGUGCCUUUCUAUUUUCAUCUUAGAAAAUUUCCUCAGCAAACCGAUGAGAGAUUGUGGUUGCAAGCUUCAGUAUUUGCCUCACUUCCCUUUUCCUAUUUACGGAAUUAAAACAACCUCAAGUACCUCAGACUCUGCAUUCCAAACCAAGACACCUAGCAGCCAAAGUGUUGAGGGCAUUUAAGUGGAGUUAAUGGCAGGAGAGAUGGUUUUAGAAUCUUUGGAGUGGUGUAAGUUACGGAUAGAAGGGAAAAGGCAAAAACUGUAUUUACCCUGCCUUUGCAGGCUCGGAUUUUUGAACCGAGGAAGGCUGGGACGCCUGUUUCCAGAUGGUUGUCAUGGUCACACUGGGUGAAGAGCUGGAGGGGAGUUGCCACCUCCGCUGAGCGGCUGCAGUGAAAUGCCCCAGUGUUCCUGGGUUGGCUUUACGGCAAACUCCUAAAUGCAGGGGACGCUGGAGUCGGACUCAACUACACCGGCUUCCUCACAGCCGCUGGUGUGCGGCACACAGCACAUCUGCAUUAGGCAGAGGUGCAGGUGGGCUGAUUGAACUUUUCCUUCAAACCCUGCGUGUCUGUCCUGGACCUUUGAUGAAAUGGGAUCCCGGUCACGCAGGCUGAGGCGGUGGGGACCACUGAGGCCAGAGCGGGCUAUGCUUGAGCAGGGAUGAGAAGGGCCGCGGCAGCACGCAGCCUUGACCCACGCCCGCAGCUUGUGGUGCAAGGCCAGAGGGCUCUCUAGAACCUGAGCGUGCACUCCAUCUCCUGGGAGGCACGUUUGGCUAGAGUGUGUUCGUGGGGGGAAAAAAGUGCACAAGAGAUACGGAACCCUGAGCUAGGGUUCCCCAUCACCAAAGAGAGCUGCAUUUCCAGUUCUGUGUUAAAGUGCCGUUGGUUCUGGUGCCUGCCUGUCGUGAGGAUUUGGAGACUCGAAUCUCCUUUGCCAGGUCUCUUUUGUCUUUGGGAUUGGUAGUACUAGAAGAUGCGGGGAAUUCUCUUCCUCGCGCAGCCUCGGCUUCCCACACUGUAAGAUGAGGCAGUUGCAGAGGAGGCCUCGGAUGUCCUGUGACCCUCGGCCCACACUCCCCCUCGGGUGGCCCAGGCAGGGCUGGCUGGGUGCUUUCCAUGCAGACCACAGGAAGCCCUGUGCUUGCCUGGGUCAGAGCUAAGCCGUGCGCUCUAAAGAAGGGAGGAGGACUGCAGAUUCUUGGUCAAGAAGAAUGAAGAGGAUGUCUAUGUUUGCUGAGCAGCCAUUGUGGAGGGUUACCCGCCUCCACUUUGCUGUUGCCCGUUUCACUCCCACCAGCUCCUCUUCCUCUGCUGGAACCCAUGAGUCCCAGCCUCACUGGCGGCCUCAGACGUGCUUGGGAGUGACGGGGACAGAGAGAGGCCGCUGAGAUGCCCUUUAGAACUCUCUGCUGCGCCAGAGACCCAGAUGGAGAGGGACCCUGAACCAAACAGAACGUGUACUAAUUUGCCGAACUC